rnacentral:rRNA from 1 species
UUGCGCAAUGGGGGAAACCCUGACGCAGCAACGCCGCGUGGAGGAUGAAGUCUCUUGGGACGUAAACUCCUUUCGACCGGGACGAUUAUGACGGUACCGGAAGAAGAAGCCCCGGCUAACUUCGUGCCAGCAGCCGCGGUAAUAAU